rnacentral:rRNA from 1 species
CGGACGGGUGAGUAAUGUCUGGGAAACUGCCCGAUGAGGGGGAGUAACUACUGGAAACGGUAGCUAAUACCGCAUAACGUCGCAAGACCAAAGAGGGGGACCUUCGGGCCUCUUGCCAUCGGAUGUGCCCAGAUGGGAUUAGCUAGUAGGUGGGGUAACGGCUCACCUAGGCGACGAUCCCUAGCUGGUCUGAGAGGAUGAUCAGCCACACUGGGACUGAGACACGGCCCAG